UACGUAGGAUGCAAGCGUUGUCCGGAAUUAUUGGGCGUAAAGCGAACGUAGGCGGUUUCUUAAGAUUGGUCUUAAAGACCGGGGCUCAACCCCGGGAAUGGAUCGAUAACUGGGAGACUGGAGGACGUCAGAGGAAAGUGGAAUUCCGAGUGUAGCGGUGAAAUGCGUAGAGAUUGGGAAGAACACCCGUGGCGAAAGCGCUCUGCUGGACUGCAACUGACAUUGAGGGACGAAAGCUAGGGGAGCGAAUGGG
rnacentral:rRNA from 1 species